ACAUAGCUAUCUGUUGGUCUCAGGCAAUCUACUUGCCUUCAGUGUCUGCUGCAUAUCUUUCUUAAUUCUACUUAAUAUUCUUUUUAAGUUGGCUGUUGCUUCUUGACAUACUCUCAUCUCAAGUCAACAUUAACAUUUGGCUCAUUUUGAUAAUAUAUUGCUGUGUGAUUGCAUUAUUGGGCUUCCUGUAUGAGUGAGCUUUUCUGCUGAUGUGCUAACUUUUAUUUGUCUCUCCUAGUGUCCCAUCUUGUAUAGUUUAUGAUGAGGGUAAUGAUGAAAGAGACCUUCAGCUCCCUCUUUGUAAACAAAAAGCAGCACUACCAAACACCCGUGGUUCCACCAAUGACAUGGUGUUGAUCUUGGAACCUGCAAUUCGAAAAGUGUUACAAGAGAUGGUCCCUCCUUGAAGGUCCAGCUGUGUGUCCUGAAGGGUGAUUUUGAAAGUGAGGAUUGGACUGUUGAGGAAUUCAAUAGCAACAUAGAAAGUCCAAGAGAAAGAAAAGGAUCAUUACUCAAGGGAGACACGGCUAUUAUUUUCAAGAAUGUUAGCUGCUGCAAAGGCAGCUCAGGAGUCGAUUCACAAUGGCGCUCUUCUAUCAGAAGAAUACAUUAAAGU